rnacentral:tRNA from 1 species
CCCUGGUUAGCUUAACUGGCAAAAGCGGCGUAGUUAUGAUACGUUGAUUGCAGGUUCGAAUCCUGCACUGGGGACC